rnacentral:rRNA from 1 species
AGUCGAACGGGAAUUACUUUAUUGAAACUUCGGUCGAUUUAAUUUAAUUCUAGUGGCGGACGGGUGAGUAACGCGUGGGUAACCUGCCUUAUACAGGGGGAUAACAGUCAGAAAUGGCUGCUAAUACCGCAUAAGCGCACAGAGCUGCAUGGCUCAGUGUGAAAAACUCCGGUGGUAUAAGAUGGACCCGCGUUGGAUUAGCUUGUUGGUGGGGUAACGGCCCACCAAGGCGACGAUCCAUAGCCGGCCUGAGAGGGUGAACGGCCACAUUGGGACUGAGACACGGCCCAGACUCCUACGGGAGGCAGCAGUGGGGAAUAUUGCACAAUGGGGGAAACCCUGAUGCAGCGACGCCGCGUGAAGGAAGAAGUAUCUCGGUAUGUAAACUUCUAUCAGCAGGGAAGAUAGUGACGGUACCUGACUAAGAAGCCCCGGCUAACUACGUGCCAGCAGCCGCGGUAAUACGUAGGGGGCAAGCGUUAUCCGGAUUUACUGGGUGUAAAGGGAGCGUAGACGGUGUGGCAAGUCUGAUGUGAAAGGCAUGGGCUCAACCUGUGGACUGCAUUGGAAACUGUCAUACUUGAGUGCCGGAGGGGUAAGCGGAAUUCCUAGUGUAGCGGUGAAAUGCGUAGAUAUUAGGAGGAACACC